ensembl:lncRNA
AAAUGUCUUUGCCGUUGGUGCUGAAAGGAGACAGACAAUAGGCCACAGGCAGGGGAUACGCAUGAAGGGUGGAGCUCAAGACCUCAGCUGCUUUCCUCCAGGAGUUUGGUCUGGGAGACAUCACGUGAAAAUGAACACAAAGGGCAAUCCUACAAGCCAAAAGACAGAUAUGACUGAGACGCCUCCUGCCAUCGAGAAGCUCAUAAUCUACUGGACUAUAAACCUCCAUCUCUAGUUCCACCCACGCUCAAAGGGAGGAAAUUAUACAAAAGCUAGCACCUCCCUCCUUGCUUGAAGACAAUGCAGAGGCCUCUUCCCUUCGAGUCAGCUUGUGUCCCCGACCCCCAGGAGGUGCCCCACCUCUUCUUCUGGCCACCAGGAAGGCUCAGAGAAAAUCCCAUUCACCAAGGCCGUAAUGUACCUGCAUCACCAGGAAGCUCCAUGGUGGCCCCCCUCUGCAGACAGUGGGAGAGGUUUCUACAGAGCUGGGCUCGCUGAACGCAAGAGGGAUGAUAGGACCCUGGAACAAGAGUGGCUAUGUGGUGACGCAACUCUCAGAAAUCAGGUGAAUGCAAUGAUCAUAAUCAGCAAAAAGCUCAGAGGGGCAAUCAAGGAAGGCUGGACCACAGAAUGUGAUGGAGAUGGAGACCACAUCCCCAGGGGCAAAAUACCUGUCAACAAGAGCACUACGCAACUUGUGCCAUUGGAAGAAAUCGAGGAUGGAUAUUCAGGAGGCCGGUGGUGGGUACCGCAAUAAAAGUCCCAAUAACUUGCCCCAGAGUUGGAAAACUCUGAACCCCUUGACUGAGAGGAGGGCCAGGUCUCCAAGAAAAAGGACCAUGCAACACCUGGGUGAAUGGGCACAGCCAAGAUACCUUGAGGUCUUCCUCAAAGGGAUCUAAGGACUCAGGGAACUCUUCACCAGGAAAAGGGGAAUAUCAAGUUUUUGGAGAACUGCGGGAGGUGACUGAUAUGUGGAGACCUGAAGAGUCAUCAUGGCCCUCUCGCUCUGUUGUGUGGGACAGAGGGCAGCCAAGCAAUAAGUAAAAUCUUGCCUGUGGUCUGGUGGCUCACAGUGGUUUCAAUAGGUCCACAGAUCCAAUCAGUUGUCGUUUCCCCCAUCUCCAAAUGUAUAACCGGGGUAGAUAUUCUCAGAACUUGGCACAACCUUCACAGUGGGUCUUUGGCCUGUGGGAUGGGAGCUUUCAAUGGGGAAAGCCAAGUGGAAUUUUCUAAAGCUACCCCCAUUCACAUAGCCAAGAUAGCAAAUAAAACAUGUGUAUGAUAUAUAUUUCAUCCUGGGGGAAGGAAGAAUAUGGGGGCAGUGAGGAGAGGGGACUAUGGGAUGUAUAAGAGGAGAGAGGGGCAGAUGGCUGAAGUUAGUGCUACCCUUAGGGAUCUAAAAGGUAGCAGGUUGGUUCUCCCUGUUAUAUCUCCAUUUAAUUAACCUGUCUGGCUCCUGAAGGAUCCAGGUUGGUCCUGGAGGCCAAGAGUGGACGACGGCAACUCAACCAAGUAGCCCGCCCAAACUGGGCCCAAUGAGGUAUUCUUGCUAGAGCAGAUUCACACAGCCUCCAGUACAUGGGAUGCAACCAUGGGUUUGGUAAAUGUGUUCUCUAUGGCUGUCAGAAAGGAGAUCAGAAAGAGUUUGCAUCUGCUUGAUACAUUUCUUUGCAGUUCACAAUACACAUUCACACUUUUGCCCCAGGGCUAUCUUAACUAUGCCUGAAGAAGUGUGGACCCAUGAGACAUCAUGCAGAACACCGACCCACUACAUCAAUGAUCUUUCCUAGGGAUCCCUGAGAUCCUGACUCCCUGUCAUGGGAUCUGGAGUAACAGCGCCGUGGACCAGGGCAUCUACUUGGUAAUGAAAGAAAUGAGCAUACAACUACAGAAUCUGCUGGCCCAUAAGCCCUAUAAACCAAAAUCUAAGGACCUGACAGAAGGUUGAGAUGCAUUCCUGGGCUACUGCCAGGACUCCACCUUGGGGUGACACCCUGCAAGGACACUGUACAACACAUGGAAUAUUCUUAGGCCUUUAUUUGGUUCCAAAGUGUUUAAAUUAUACUGAAACAGAAACAAGAGGCUGGGAUCUGCCUCUAAUAUUUUAAUAUGUUUAAUUUUUUGGCUUUUAACGAUGAUCUGAAAAGACCACCCAGCAGAAGAGUGAAAGUAGAGAACAAUGACAUUAAAUUUAAAACAAAUCAUUGUAAUUCACAGGUUAGCCUGCAGAUGGUGCCAUAUUACUACUUUUUCUCUUUGCUUUUUCUUCGCUUUAAACCAUCACCUUGACUGCCGUGGGUCAGUGUCCGUCUGGUUGUGACAAACGGGAAGGCAGGCCACAGUCACUGAUUCUCAAAACAUUUGGAGUGGAUUUUAUACUGUCUGAUGUGCAAUCUUCCUUCAAAGAAAGAUAGAUGGUAUUGCUAAUAAAAUUAAAACAGCUCCAAGAAUGGCAGAAUGUAAUGGAAUUUAGGGAGCCUUCUGUCUAACUAUCAGCAGAUAAGAAAGUUAUUUCCUCAAAAUAAUACAGCCAGUAAUUGUCAGGGACAAGCCUCUGCUUCUGACCUUCAGUCACAAGUUAGCCUUAGUUCUGUUACCCCGUUAUUGUCUUCUCACAGGUUAGGGUAAACAUUAUCUCGAGAAUUUGAGAACAUCCUUAUUGGAGAUAGUUUUUAAACCCUGGUUGGCAAUAAUUAACACCCUUGAAUGGGCAGUAGAUUGUACAAACACCACAUGGAAAUGUCAUUGCUUGAUUACAGCAAAGUAAAAAGCCACUAGUCUACAGACUCAGAUUAAAUAUGGAAUAACACAUUUAAGAAACCAGAGAGUAUUUAUGAUUAAGAAGUGGGAAGGAGGAUUAUGGGAUGUGUAAGGGUGGAGGCGGCACAAUUAACGUAUUUUUUGUGCCAUGCACAGUUGUACAUGUUUCUGGGAAAAUAACAGAUCCAAUUAAUUAAUCUUGUCCAUUGGCAGAGUGGGCAAUGAAAUAUACAGUAUGGCUUCAGGGGCACUGGAAAGUAUUCCUGAAUCAUUUGCUCUUAAGUUGAGUUCAAGUUUUUCUGCCCAUUGUGGUACCAUUAAGGCUUAUCGAGAUGUGGGGUCCUGUGUACUAGGUGGGCACUGGUGAAAUGUGACCGUAAGGCGGAGAUUCUCAUACUUUUUGUUUAGAAGAACACUCUACGGUAUUAAAAGUUAUUAAGCACCCCAAAGAGCUUUUGUUUUUGUGGGUUACCGCCAUCGAUAUCCACCAUAUUAGACAUUAAAACAGAAAAA